rnacentral:rRNA from 1 species
AUUGAACGCUGGCGGCAGGCCUAACACAUGCAAGUCGAGCGGGGUUUUCGGACCUAGCGGCGGACGGGUGAGUAAUGCGUAGGAAGCUACCCGAUAGAGGGGGAUACCAGUUGGAAACGACUGUUAAUACCGCAUAAUGUCUACGGACCAAAGUGUGGGACCUUCGGGCCACAUGCUAUCGGAUGCGCCUACGUGGGAUUAGCUAGUUGGUGGGGUAAUGGCUCACCAAGGUGACGAUCCCCAGCUGGUUUGAGAGGAUGAUCAGCCACACUGGAACUGGGAACCGGUCCAGACUCCUACGGGAGGCAGCAGUGGGGAAUAUUGGACAAUGGGCGCAAGCCUGAUCCAGCCAUGCCGCGUGUGUGAAGAAGGCCUUCGGGUUGUAAAGCACUUUCAGUAGGGAGGAAGGGUGUUGUGUUAAUAGCACAGCAUUUUGACGUUACCUACAGAAGAAGCACCGGCUAACUCUGUGCCAGCCGCCGCGGUAACAC